rnacentral:rRNA from 1 species
GAUGAACGCUAGCGGCAGGCUUAAUACAUGCAAGUUGAGGGGCAGCAUGAUAUACGCGAGUAUAUUGAUGGCGACCGGCGGACGGGUGAGUAAUAGGUAGGAGACCUACCUCAUACAGGGGGAUAGCAUAGAGAAAUCUGUGGUAAUACCCCAUGAGGUUAUAUGAAUAGAGGCAUAUAAUCAAAGCAUAAGCGAUUAUGCGGUAUGAGAGGGGCCUACUGACCAUUAGCUAGUUGGUGAGGUAAGGGCUCACCAAGGCGAAGAUGGUUAGGGGUUUUGAGAGAGAGACCCCCCACAUUGGAACUGAGAGACGGUCCAGACUCCUACGGGAGGCAGCAGUAGGGAAUAUUGGGCAAUGGGCGAAAGCCUGACCCAGCCAUGCCGCGUGAAGGAAGACGGCCUUAUGGGUUGUAAACUUCUUACUACGCGAAUAGAGGUUAGUACGAGAUACUAAAUAGGAAGGUAGUGUAGGUAAAAGACACCGGCUAACUCCGU